UCUCAGGUAUGUCUUGAUUAGCAGCAUGAAAACGGACUAAUACACUCUGGCAGCAGAAGGAAGAGUAAAAAGGACUUUGUCUUUCAACAUGGCUACCAGCUCAGGCACAGAACAUAAAAAACCAAGCAGAGUCCUAAAUUCCCCAUUCUAGGCCAUAGCUCCCAGACAAUUCUAGACCCACCCUGGCCAAAAGGGAAUCAACUGCCCUGAAGGUGACAUGAUGUUGAAUUUUGUCAAUAGAGGACUCUGCAGGGGCACUGUGGAUAGAAGGGUCUACUCUUCUUCACUCCAGGACACGUCUCUGGACAUGCUCUUCUAGUCCCUGACAACCAACAGUAUAUCACAGCCAGCAGUGAAAGACUGCCUAAAAUAUAAUCUACUUCUCAGUAGGCAAUUUCUCCCAGUACCUUUGAAGAAAGCUUUUAAGAUAUUUUCUUUAUACAGCAUCUAGGGAAACUUCAUACUCUGGCGGGCCAUAGUUGAGAACCUUCGGCAUCUCAGCCCUUGGCAGCCUUCAACAGGCCACAGCCUUCCACUUGAAAAGGCUGUGCAACCCUAGGAAGGGUCUCUCAGCUUCCCUUCUCACACUCUGACUGACCUCUGCAUGCUACUGCCACCUAUCAAGCAGGCUCAUCAAAAAAUCUGCAAGGGAAUGCAAACUUUGUGGCUGGACUCCCCAGGCCUUCCGAUUGACAUUUAUGAGGACUAUUCCCUCCUCAACCUGUUCCCUGUUGUCAUACAAAAACAAGAGCGUGAGUCCCACUCUGUCACUCAGGAUGUUGUGCAGUGGCAUCAUCCUGACACACUGCACCCUCAGCAUCCCUGACUCAAGCAGUCCUCCUGCCUCAGCCUCCCAAUUAGCUGGGACUACAGACAGGCACCUCUUCAUCUGCAGGAAUGUUCAUGUUCCAUGUAGAUAGGAAUCGUGACUCUUCUUAUGCAAGCCUGGACCUAGGAUCACUCCUCCUGUGAGAAUGCAGUUAUCUUGAAAUAUUCCAGAAAGACUGUACACAAAUAUACCUAUUCUGAACUUCUAUAAAAGAAGCUCCAGUGUGUCUGCAGUGAUGGAUGAAAGAUAAAAGAAGUCUAUUUCUCCAAGACCCUUCAGGAGCACCAGGACUGUCUGCCUGUUGGAGUUGAGUCACACACUUUCCUGGAUCAGUCCAACUCUGCACCUGUGUUUCUGCUGAGACAUACUUCCCAUAAGUGGAAAGUUCUGAGACUGAAGACCUGCUAUCUGGAUUAUUUUGUCCCACAGCAUGUGCCAUUGAUGUAAUGCAGUCCUUCUUCCCCUAUGAGUAGGAGUUUAUGAAAGCCAGACUGCUAUGCAUGCUGCUAAUGCUCUGGAUUUAACCACCCAGAAGAACUGCCAUACUCCAGGUUGAUAUGGGGAAUGCCUGGAAGAAAUCCAGUAAUGUGACCUGUUCUCAAGUCUCCCAGAAGUGGAUACCAGCACCAGCUCAGAUGGGGGUGGCAAGUCUAUAAACAAGCUUAGCGUGCUGGUUUCCUCAAAUACCAGUUGUAGUAGCAAUUAACUGGUUAUGUGGAUAGACUCAGGACUUCCUCGUUAGCCAGAAUGAUGCAGGCAAUGGUGACAGCUGAAGUCACAAACCAGUUUUCUCUUUCUUGGGCAUUGUGUUAUUCUACCUGGAGAUGCUGUAGCAGACUGUUUCAGUUGGCAUCUAGCCAGGAGGGGGUACUUAAAGUGAUAGCAGUGGGAUUUGUGCUUGCCUUAUGUUAUCCAGGGGAGGUACUAAGGUGUCACAAUCAAUGAGUAGGACCAUAGAGCUCCCAAAAGUCUCUAACCUUUGUAUUAAGCUACCGGGUUAGGCAGAGGAGCAAAGCCAAGUGGAAGCUAGGUCAGGAAAGUCUGUGCUCUGGCUGUCCACAUGCAGGGCAAGCAGUGGCCCCAGCGGGGAUCAGAAAGCAGUUCUCUGGACACUGGGGUAAUGUUCCAUUGAGGAGCACAGCUGCCUCUGCCAUACAGAAGAGUCUGUAUGGAGAGUGGGGAGUAACAGGCAGCAAUAAGCUUCACCCAGCUCCACACACUUGGAAGGGCAGCUAGCUGGUUUUGAGGCAGUCUAUGCUCAGAACUCAAAACAGCCACAGACCAUAAGCCCUCCCCAUGGAGAUAGCAACCUCAGCUUUCAGGUUGCUACCCCUGCCCCUCUUGGUCUGCUAGCUCCUACACUCAUGGCUGCAGUAUAGUUCCCACUUGACUCUCAGUUCUGGCCAAGAGAGUUUGUUCCUACUCGAGAUAAUAUUGCAAAUCUCAAUUGAGAGCUCUUCUUAACUUGUGGCUACUACCUCUGUUAACUAGCAGACUUCCAGGAGGUCCUCUUUGAAGUAGAAUCAGGGAUGGCUUUCCUUCAUCCUCGUUGGAGACUGGUAAUGCAUGCAAAGCAUGUCCCAAUGCUACUCCUUCUCAUAUACUUUCCACUGCUCUCUAAAUCAGGUUGAGUGCUGAGUAGGGUGAAGGCCUUCCCCCAUGACCUGAAUAGCUAGGAUCCCCAGUGGAAGUGUACAAUAACAAAGGCAGUUUUCUACCUCUCACACUCUGGAAACCUACAGUUUUCCACCUGGUUCAUGGAAUAGGCUGUAGCAUGCCACUUCUUUCAAAGGGUCAGUGUUUUGUUUGUUUGUUUGUUUGUUUUAGUUUUUCAGCUAAAUGCCUUCAUGGAAAGGCAUGAAAAAAGGUCAUGGAAAAAAGGUCAGUGUGAGUCUGUAAACAACUGGGAGAAGCAUGCUAACAAUGCCAAAAUCUGCUGUCGUGGAAGUAGUGAGGGUAAAGAUUAAAAUAUUUUGAUAACUCUUAAAGACCUUUAACAAUAGCAUCUAUUAAUGAAGAAUAAUGCAAUAAAGUAUAUCUAUAAACCA
rnacentral:lncRNA from 13 species